ACUUCAGCGCAGUAAAUGAUUUUGUUUUCCCGUUCCUUCAUAGCUGCAAAAAUCAUCAAAUCCACAAUCUUCAAAUCCACGAUCUCAUCUAUAAACCCUAAUAUCCAAAGGAAACAAAAUCAUCUUCUUCAAUUGAAUUCCUUCAAACCCUAAGGAAUCGAACUCAUCUUCCUGCAAUCGAAUCCCUAACCCAUAACCCAUAAAUCAACUUCUCUCCACCAUAUACCCAGUAAAUAAUCUUUAACAAGUCGUACUCGUUUGUCGUCGUGCUCGUCACAACUGGUUCGUGUUGUGCUGUCACAACCCAAACCGUCGUUAUUAAGGUAUAUGCUUAGAAAAUUUAAUUUGCAAAAUUGAUUUAAGUUAGAAGACACUGUUUUUAGGUGUUGGCUAUUUCACUAUGAUUUUUUCAACUAAUAUUAUAUUAGGUGCAGUUUUUCUCCCAAUUUUGUAUCUAUCAUGUUCUGUUUGUGUUGGGUUCUUGUUUUUGGUGUAUCUUAGAUUGUUUGGUUCAGGUGUUUUUUAUGUUGUUUAGCUGGUAUACGGAAUAGAUUUAUGUGCUAGUUGGCUGGUUG
rnacentral:lncRNA from 1 species